CCUGAGCCCAAGCGAUUGCCUGCCUUGACCUCCCAAAGUGUGGGAUUACAGCAUGCAGUCCCCUGCCUGUUACACAGCUGACCUUGGUAAAUAUUUUUGAAAGAAUAAAUGAACACAGCCCAAUUAGCGGAGAUAUGCCGAAAGAAACAGCCCAUCUUUGCCAACAUAUGCAGAGGGAGAGAAGCUCUUCUUGAAGAGGACCCACUUUCUUCUAGAGCAGCCACUCACAGCUCUCUCGACUCCUUGGACCCUCAGGGUUGGAGAAGACCCAGGGUUAGGAUAGCACUUUUGGGGGAGGUUUCAUUGACCUUGUUUUGAAAGAAUAACAUGUUGAAGAGCCAGGUGACUAGUUACAUUUUAUUGUGUACCUGCCAGUUGAAAAAAACAAGGUCAAAAACACAAAAGGAUAGAACAUGGCAAAACAUAUUGAUUAGACGGGGAAAGCAGAUGACACACAGGGACAGGACAUUUUAUUUUUAUCAUUCCAAAUUCAGAGAAAUAUAAUUAACUCCAUGCUCGGUUCACCUAAGUUUUUGUAGCAGAGGUGAACGUGACAGAUUGAGGCACAAAUUUGUUAAUGCUGAAUAUUGGGCAUUUCUUCUGUUAUUAUUUACUGGACAUAAUCUGAUGUCAUGUGAUAGACCAUGAUAUGUAAAUGACUUCACUCAGGAAAAAUGAUAACUUAUGUAACUUUAUCUGGCUUUAUUCUCUACACAUACUGAGAAGCAAACCCAUUAAUCACAGCCUAGGCAGAAACUCUUCAAGUAGUGUGUGAGACAAACAGAGGUAUUAAUUAUAUUUAUUAUGGUAAUAAUAUGCUUAACACUUCCUUCAAGGCAUGAUAGUUGCAGAAAUUGGGAAAAAUAAGAAUACUCUAGCAGACUUACAGAUACUCAGUGGCAGUAUCACAAAUAAUCAUAAUCACAAGAAUUUCAGAGAUGAGGAAGCAGAGAGAGAGGGAGAGAGGUGUUAACAAUUUGUUAAACAUCACACAGCUGGUAAGGAGUCUCUCUAAUUCCAAAGCAUGGCUUCUUUCCUCUACACAGCAGUGCCUCCUCAAUUAGAGAAUGUUAUAGUGUAAAAUCAUCAGAGGAAUAAUGUGAUUUCGAGUAAUUUUUAAAAUGAUAUUGUCUGGUCACUUAUUCUGGUUUUUCUGUUCUACAUAACAGUUAUGCACCCCAUAAGGACGUUUUGGUCAAUAAUGGGCUGCAUAUAUGGUGGUGGUCCUGUAAGAUUAUAAUGGACCUGAAAAAUCCCCAUUGCCUAAUAACAUAGCUUUUGUCACAUAGCACAGACCCGUGGGUGUGGUGAUGCUGGUGUAAACAAACCUACCACACUGCCAGCCUUAUGAAAGUAUAGCACAUGCAUUACGUACAGUACAUAAUACUUUAUAAUGAUAAUAAGUGUUCCUUAUGUGUUUACUAUACUUUUAAUUGUUAUUUUAGAGGGUACUGCUUCUACUUAUAUUUUUAAAACUUAACUGUAAAAGCACCUCAGGCAGGUCCUUUGGCAGGUAUUCCAGAAGAAGCAUUGUCAUCAUAGGAGAUGACAGCUCCGUGUGUGUUAUUGCUGCUGAAGACCUUCCAGUGGGACAAGAUGUGGAAGUGGAAGACAGUGAUAUUGAUGAUCCUGACCUGUGCAGGUCUAGGCUAAGAUAACUCAGCCUACUUAAAGCCCACCAGAAAGUCAGCCAACAAAUCUCCCAACUCACUCACCCACCAUCAACCCGUAAACUCUCCAGCAUGUAUUGAAGGCCUACCUUGUUGUGCUUGAUACAGUGUUUGGUGCCAUGUGAAAUGACAAAGCAGGACCAGACAGCGUCCCUGCCACCCUGGUGCUUGUAAUCUAGUUGGAGAGAUACGAUAAAAAUAAAUGACACAAUUACAGAAUCUGACAGAAUGUAAUAAAGUGCUAAAUUGUGUGGUACAGACAAUUAGAGAACAAGACAGUAUAUAAUAAAGUGCUAAUUGUGUGGUACAGACAAUAAGUAUAAUAGGAGUUCAGUGAAGGGAUAGAUGAGUGUGGGCUGCAGUCUUCAGGGAAGGCUUCUCAUCAUGUCAGUGCUGCCGUGUUUAUCCAGUGCAUGACGGGAAAUGGAAUAUGAAAUAGAAGAUGGAUUAUGAGCAGAAUAAUGGUGCUGAACUGUGGUAUCUCUUCUCAGGCUGGAUGAACACAGAAAGAGUCCUUUGAAAGGUAGCAUUCUCCAUUAAAAAAAAUCAAAUAGAGAAAUACCUUAUUUUCUUUAUUAGUUGUGUUAUAGAUAAUUUCUACAGAAACUUAAAAUCAGAUUUUAAAUUGAAUAAUGUUUUCAAUGUACCAGGAUGCUCACUGUUUAAAGGAGCCAUGUUGUAAAUCCUUUUCAUAAAUGAAAAAUACUUUUGCAUUAUUGAUGAUCACUUGUUUAUACAAAAUUCCUCAAAGCUAAUAGUAAAUAGGUACUCUCAUACACUACUGGUGGGAUUGAUGAACCUUUUACAAGGUAACUUGGCAAUGUGUACCUAAAAUUUUGACAACGUGCAUAUUGUUCAACCAAUCAGUUUCACUUCUGGGAAUUUAUCCUAAGGACGUAGUAAUCAUAGGUGACUGCAAGAAUAAUUUUACUACAAUGAUAAUUAUCACAGCAUUAGGAUAAACUGGGAACAAUCUAAAUGCCCCCAAAGAGAGGACUGAUGAAAUAAACACAUAUUUAUAAAAUGGAAUGUAUAGUCACUAAAGUGUUACUGUAAAAAUAGGUAAUGCUGUGGGAAAUGUUCACAACAUAUAGAUAAGAGAAAAAGCAAAUUUGAAAACUUGAAGAGUAUGAUUCCAUUUUGUUAAAAUGUGUUUUAUGGCUAAAAACAUGUUUUAUUCACAGAAACAUAUUUGAGUGGUGAGGUGAUACGUGAUUUCCACUUCUUUAUGCUUUUUUGAAAUUUCCAAAUGUUUUCCAAGUUACAUGGUUUAUUUUGUAAUAAGACAUAUAUUAAAAUUCUACAGUUCUCUGAUUUAAUUUGCUUUGAAAGUUGUGAUUGUCAUAAUUUAGAUUGCCAUCUCUAGAGCCAAAGGUCUUGUGGGACAAGUAAGUUCUGGGACCAGAGACAAACACGAGAAGUAUUAUUCCUUUUUCUUUUGAAUUAUAAAUGAUUUAUAUUAGCAAAAUGUAUACCUUCUUUCCUUAAACUCAUAUUCAUGUGGGAGCUGUUUGGGAGGGACACAUACUCUUUAAGGCUUAUACAACGUGAAUUUUUAGCAGCAGAGCCUGCCAGAGUGGGUGGAAAGCCCAGGGCAUGGAUUAAUUUUUAAGACGUCUGGAAUACUAAAAAUAAAAAUAAGAAAAAUGUAGAAGUAAGUGUAGAUGUGCUGAAACAGAGUUUCAAAAAUUGUGAUGAUUUUAAAUGUUUAUCUUGAACAAACUGAUGCCUUUAACACACAGUAUACAGGAACAGAAAGUAAAGCUUCAUGGUGACAUUAUGUCAAAGGCUAGAAUUGGAGAUCUUUGGUGCAUGCAGGAUCAAGGCCAAAUUAGGCUCUGCCUGGAAACCAUGCAGAGGAUGUGGAAUUAUUGAAAAAAAUAAGAAAAUAUGUAGAGAGGAUUUUGGAAUUUCUGGUCCAAGGGAUUUUCCAUGUCUAAAGUGAAAACAAAAUAGUUUUCUUCUGUUCCAAGAACUUUAUUUAGAACUGUUUUGAAAGGGGCCUUUCUCUGAAACAUUUCAAUACAAAACCACAUUAUUUUCUCAUCCUAUGACUCUAUGUCUUCCAUUCCCUAGGUUUUGACUAAUUUAAGGUUUUAAAAUAGACGUUUCAACCCUUUCUAGUUAAUAAUUUUCUAUUUUAACCUCAUCAUCUAGCCUUUCAUCUAUGACUUGGCCCGGUAAAACAUAGCAAGUCAGAAUUUUACUUCCUUCCUGUGCCCAAAAAAUAUAAAGAAAAUCCUUGAAUACCCAGGUUUUUGGGAAGUCCAACCUUAGCCAAAACUGGGAACUGUUUGCCUUUCUUUGGAGAACCCGUCCUGUAGAAAGAAUGAGCUGGGCGGCAUCCCUGAAGUACAAGUCAGGAGAACUUGUUCCUGGACAUUCCCUUGUCUCCAACUAAUUUGGAUGAAUUCACCACUCUGUGCUUCAGUUUUUUUCGUGGCAUAGUACAGUGCUCACAUGGAGGAUGAUGGCAGGUGUGAGGUAAUUAAAAUAUUUCUGACAACAUGGCAGACUAGCUGACAUGGAGAAGCCUUCUCUCCCACUACUGUCACAUAGAAAAUCUAG